GCGAACGCUGGCGGCAGGCUUAACACAUGCAAGUCGAACGGUCCUUCGGGAUAGUGGCGGACGGGUGAGUAACACGUGGGAACGUACCCUUAGGUUCGGAACAACACAGGGAAACUUGUGCUAAUACCGGAUAAGCCCUUCGGGGGAAAGAUUUAUCGCCUUUGGAGCGGCCCGCGUCUGAUUAGCUUGUUGGUGAGGUAAUGGCUCACCAAGGCUACGAUCAGUAGCUGGUCUGAGAGGAUGGCCAGCCACACUGGGACUGAGACACGGCCCAGACUCCUACGGGAGGCAGCAGUGGGGAAUCUUGCGCAAUGGGCGAAAGCCUGACGCAGCCAUGCCGCGUGGAUGAUGAAGGUCUUAGGAUUGUAAAAUCCUUUCACCGGGGACGAUAAUGACGGUACCCGGAGAAGAAGCCCCGGCUAACUUCGU
rnacentral:rRNA from 1 species